UUUUUUUUUUUUUUUUUUUGCCUGUUCAACCCCCUCGCAGCGUCACCGCUGGCGAUUUUUGGGAGAGGCGGAGCGAUAACAAAACCAGCAACCAUCGGCUCUGUCAUCCAUUCAAGUUCUCAAACACGCAGUCAACGUAAUUAAGAAAAUGCACUUGUGGCUUAUUGGGCGCUAUUUGGAGAAGAAAACAACGAGUUUGAAUAGACGCAAUGCAAGAGUACAAAUCAAACUACAUCAUGUAAGGCGUAAGUUAUAGUUGACUGAAGAGACUCGAAAGACAAAUGUACCUGGAGGUAAGGCAGGUACUAAAGGUGAUAAGAUGAACAUUUUUUUUAAGAGUACUGCAAGAGUUUUACCGAUAAUUUAUUAGAGAGGGAAAAGGAACAACAUACAGCCAAAUACAACUUCAAGAAAAAGAGGAACAAUUCUUCUUCUUUUGCAACAAAAGAGAGAUACAACUUGAUGGAAAAGUGCCGGGUGAGCGAGCAAUGUUUAUUGUAGUUCAGUCAAUUAAUAGGGAAGUUGUAUAGGUGCCAAUGAAGGAUUGCUCAAGGAGCUAAAAUUUCAGUUUCAACCAAAACUUGUGACCUGUGAAGCACUUCGAAAAAUAAAAUGACCAAUUGUCCUGGGAUAGUAACAUUAGUACCGUACAGAUUCCGUAAAAAAUCAGGACAAAACGUUGUACGUCCUGUAUGUACGUCUAGGUCCAGUAAUAAACUGUAAAAGGUCAACGAAUUUCACAGGACACUUGACAGUACAAAUGAACUAUUUAAGCCCAUGACGUCUCACACCCGCAAAAAGAACUACUUAAGCCCAUGGGCCGAAUGGAAAGCCGUACGUAUAUGAGCUUGAUGGAUGGCUUCAAUUUGGGCCUUAUGAGUUCGCAUGUGAAAAGUUAGGUCCAGUAAAAGGUCAACGAAUUUCACAGGACAUUUGGCAGUACAAAUAAACUAUUUAAGCCCAUGGGCCGAAUGGAAGCCGUACAUUAUAUGAGCUUGUGAUGAUGGAUGGAUUGAAUUUUGGGCCCAAUGAGUUCGCAUGUGAAAAGUUUACCUCGCGCACCCGAUUAGGAAAUGGUGGUUCGGAUCACAAGGAAUCGUUUUUUUUUUUGAGUAACGGGAUCACAAGGAAUCGUAGAGAUAAGGAUAGAACUAAUUCAGAAUUCAGGGAAUUAGAGCAUCUCCGAGAUGUAUAAAAAAUAGCUCUAAAAAUUUCUAAAUAAAAUUUUAAAAAAUAAUUUUUAGACCUUGCCGAAAAACUAUUAGGAGGGAAAAAUACCUCUUCAAACAACAAUUUCAAAAUUUUGGUCCAGAAAAGACUAAAUUCUUAUCCCAUCAUCAUAAAGCUUGAUUUUUCUAGUAAUUCGUACCCUUUGUUCAUAGGUUUUGGGAGCAUGGAGUGGAGGCCAAAUUUAAGUUCAAGAUGGAGUUGGUAUUGGACAACGAAAAAGUUGGGAAUAGAAUUAGACAACUUUUGGUGUAUUAUUUUUUUAACCUUUGUUCCUAAAACUAACUGUUGAAAUUAUAUAUCAAAAAUUUUUGGAGAUGCUCUUAUAUCCAUCAAUCUCUAUCCUCCUGCUGAACCCUAUCAAAUCGCUUCAUAUACUCUAACAAACUCAUAGUAUUGUAUAAUUUGGAAGGUCGUUUUGAUGGGGUUGAAACAGCUAUGAAAAUCGCAAAAAAGAGAGAAAACAUGUGUACACUAUCGGUGAAUUUUUUUUAUUUUUAACUAGCCACGGCGCAUGGCGCGACUAAAAGAGUCACGCCGUGCAAAUAAAGUUGGGAUUAGGAUGGGGUAUUUUUAAAAUAUCUUUAAAAAGUUAAAAAUAAAAAAAAAUCAUUAUCGGUGGACGGUGGUGCGGCGAAGCCGGUCAACUGAAGCUUCGCUUUCCCGGCGGCCGUUUGGCUCUUCUCCGUUUCAUGCGCGCCUCGCCGUUGCUAUAAAGCCUACCACCCCCAAGCCCCCAACUGCAAGGAGAUAGAAAGAGAGGCCGAGCGCCAAUUAUGAAGCCCUCGCGUUGCCUCUGCCUGCUUUUCCUGGCCUCCAUCCUCGUGGCCUCGUCGGCCGUCGUCACCGUGUCGCCGAAGGAGACCGCCGAGGAGAAGAAGGCCUGGGCGGCGCCGGCGCCGGCGGCGGUGGAGCCCGAUGAGGCCUUCCUCGCCCGCCUCUGCGACGAGCAGCGGCGCGGGCGGGUCCUCCCGUGGUGCAAGCAGCUGCACGCCAGGCGCCGCGGCGGCGCCCACCACCGCUACCUGCCGAUGUCGCCCCCCAGCCGCGACGGCGAGGAGAUCGACCCGCGCUACGGCGUGUCCAAGCGGCUCGUGCCGAGCGGGCCCAACAGGCUGCACAACUGAACUGAUCGUGCGACGCGCGGCUCCGUGAUUGAUGCGCGCGCGCGGCCGUCAGUUUUUCUUGCUAGCUAGUUUCCUUAUUUCCCUUUCUUUUCUUUUUUCCUAGGAUUCUUGCAUUGCUAGCUUUCUUUGUGUCAUUGGUUUCGUUCAAGCCUAGAUUGCUGGAAAGGGUUGACAAUGGAGGAUGAUGCAUGCGCCGUGAAGCAUACUCGAUCGAGCUCGGAUCUUCGUUUACCAUAUAUAGAUCCAAUCUUAGUAGCAUGCACUCCAUUGAUAAUGAAGACAUGUAGGUUAAAAAUCUACCGUAGGUCGGUUGGUUUCUUUUGUAGUGAUAAUAAUGUACCUUAGAGUACUAUAUACAUCUUGCUUGAUUUGUCCUUUCAAGUUCUUGUUCAUGCAUGCGUUGGCUCUUGUUGUAAGCUUGCCGGAAAGGUCAAGUUUCGUGUUCAUAUCCACGCGCUCGAUCUCUCAGACUCCUACUACACGCUUACUGGGCAUGUGAGUUUCUGUUCCUGUUCUGCUUAAUUUCACUGUGUGUUCUGCAAAGGCAACCACCAGUGUUCUUUGCAGGCUCCGACAGUGGAGUAGUGCUAGUUAAUGUGGUCCAGCUCUUCCUGUGAUGAAAAAGCCGAGUAGUUCGAGAAAAUAACUUCUCACAGCCAUUUUGCCUUUGUACUAACUGCUCACUUAACUCCGAGUUGUAUUGUAGCAAUUGCGUUAAUCCCCUUCGAUUCAGUUCUCGCGAUUUCACGGUGGAUAGAUAGUGAACGCCUACAUUUUAAAGAUAGUUCUAAAGAUAGAAUAGAUUUGAUCCAAAAUUUACUGGUAAUGUAGUUACGGCAUGUUCCAUCACUAAUUAAGGUGGCGAGGUGCUUUGUACCAGAAUUAUUGAAGAUCUGAUUUCAACUUGCAGCUACAGCCGGCCGUUUUGGUGACUUUUUCAGGCUAUUAAUGUGUUGUUCAGCCUUCACCGAUGCGUGAGAUCAGCUGGACAGGCCCUGGUCGACAGUUCGACACUUCCAUGAAUUGAGGGUAAUGGCUGACUCUUUAUUCAGGUGUACUAGGUUCCGCACUUUCCAGCUCAAUUCAGUCAAGAAAAAGCCGAUGUGCAAUAAACUGAACUGAGCUGGUGUUCGGAAAGCACUUCACCUUCACUGCAGGUGGUGCAAAACUGCGCUCAUCCAAUCUCCGUUCGUGGAAAAUGCAUUCAUCCAGUAAGCGCUGGGAUCCGUGCAAAGAAUAAUGCAGGAUCAGGGCAGUCCAACGAAAUAGUAAACUACUCUUUCAAUGCAAACACCACUAUUUCAUAUUUGAAUUUUAUACUACUCACCUCUUAUUAUGUCUUAGAUGGUGUGUAAAAACUAGGUCUCAUGCAAGAUUUAGUUUCCUUCUCUUUCUUAUCCUAGUUGGUAGCUCAUUUAAUUUUAUGGAUACCAUUCCGGUCAUUAGGUUGGGAGGAACUCAGAACACACUGUGGUUGGUUUUCUUUUUUUUAUAAAAGAAAAAGGAACAAAAGGGAAAUAGUAGCCCAGCCCUAUAAACCAUCGUUGCCCAUUCGGGCCUGGUCCAGCCUAUCCUAUACGGGCCAUGGCCCAACUCAUGAAGCGAAACCAAACGGCGCCACCCGGUUCUUUCGGUGCGGGCCUUCCCUGCGCGCUUGGUCCCGCCCCAUUUGCAUCGGGCGCGUUUGGCAGCCUGCAACGCCUCAGCCAGACCCACGAGUCAAGGCUCGAGCAAGACAGGUCAUAUCCAUGAAAUGCAGAGAUGUUAAUUAGCAAAUAUACACCCUAUAGUGCUAGUUGGGUUGGGAAUUUUUUUGAGCUGCACAGUAAAAUGGGCUUACCUUGUAUUGAGAAAGUGGUAGAGUUACCACAAUCUUCCUCCUCCCAGCACGUGCUGCCGCGCCUCCGGCUGCCACGCGUCGCGGCCUCCUCCCAACACGUGCCACCGCGCGCCACGACCUCCUCCCGCACGCGCCGCAGCGCCACCUCAGCUUCGCCUCGGCACCGCUGUCGCUCGGCCAGCGAGCUCGGCCGCUCGCCCUCGCCGCCGCCGCUUAGCCACGUCCCCCGCCGGAGAUUGUCAUAGUGGAAGUGGAGUGCGGCUUGGGGGGACGAGAUUGCGAGCGCUGGCCGUUGGGAUGGAGCUGUGGGCACCUUCUCCUUGUGCCUUCCUCUCCUCCGAUCGUGACGGCAGCGGCGGUCGGCUCUUGCGGGGCCCGCCUAGCCUCCCCUUCGUCGUGGUGCUACCGCUCGUCGACCCGGCCCCGCACGACGAAGGUGCUCGCAUGUGCUCAAUGGUGGGCAUGACGGGUGGCUCGGCGAUAGGAACAGAGAAGAGGCAUCGAGCGUGGGACGAAGACGGAGACAGCCUGCGAGCAUGGCGCUGCUGCCAACACCAGGGAGAUGCAGAUGCUGCCUUGCUCCACCACUUCGGCGGUCGUCGCGUCACCUUUGCGCUCUCCUCCCUCUUGUAGCUGCUCCCCGCCAUGACCUGCCAGUCGACGCAGGUGAAGGGGAACCAACAAAGGAGUCGGCGGCGAAGAACAGAGGAAGGUGAGCGUGUUUUGGUGUGUGACGAGAAUAUACUAAGGAUCACCGCAACGAGGCCAUCGAGCCUGCAUCGCGUGGAAUGACCGAUUUUAGCGUUUCACGCGGUGCAGCCUGACGGGCCUCUUUUGCAUCGCGUGAAUCUGGCCUGGGAGGCUAACUAGGAUGGCGAACACAGCUGGUUGCACCAACUAGCUGAACCUGGCCCAACCUCCGUCCGGGCCAACAUACGAGCCCUUCCUCUCCAAGUCCAGAGCGAGCGGUUCGGCGAAGUUUGCAAGUUGCGGAGCGGCUGCAACUCGCCUUGCCUGAUGGGGCGGCUGCGCGCUUUCUGCCGUCUCCGCCGCCUCCUCGCGCCGCCGCCGCCACAAGCACCACCACCGGGUCACUCUCUGGCGCGCGGGCCCCACGCCACUGCCGCCCACGCCUCGCCCUUCUCGAGGCUCUUCUCGUCGGCCUCGGCGGUCGCGGCCGUCGCGCCCCACGAGGCCCGAGACUCGGGUUUCGGCGGCUCAGCGUACUGGGCCUGGAUUCGCGCGGCGACGGAGUCGGCUCCGGCGCCCGCGCUUCCGCCGGAGGAGGAGGACGAGGGCCCGGAGCGGUACAUCCCCGUCAAGGCCUACUUCCUCUCCACCAGGUAAGCACGCCGCGUCACGCCAACGCUUGCUUGAUUGGUGUUUGAUGAUUUAUCUGUGGGGGGAAACGUUGAGUGCUACCGUGCUAUUUCGAAGUUGCGCACGCCCAAUAGGCCAGCGAACUAAAAUGAUGGGUUUUCCUUUGAUUUUUCUCUCCACUUUGUGGCAGCAUUGAUCUGAAGAGCAUGCAAGCAGAGCAUGGUAGUGAUAUUGUACCUCCAUCGACCCGUUUGCUCAACUACAUUGCGCUUCGGUACUCCGAAUUCCCGCCUGAGAUUAUGGUUAGUGAUUACAGUUUAGCAUCACCUUUGUUUGGGGGCCUAUUGAAAUCUAGAAUUAACUGAUCUCAGGCACAUGCGGGCCCCUUUUGGACAUGCUGUUGUGACAUUGACCUAUGCUGCAGAAAUUGAUAUCCUUGUGAUUUUGGUUGAUACUUGUGCAGGACAUUGGAGUGAAGGACAGCAGAUUUUGCUAUCGCUAUGUGGUUGUUUUCCAAUAUGGUUCUGCUGUGCUUUUCAACAUUGCUGAUCAUGAAGCUGAAUACUAUCUUGAUAUAAUUAGGAAACAUGCUUCAGGAUGGCUUCCGGAGAUGAGAAAAGAUGGUACGUCCAUGCAAUUCACUCCCAGUUCAUAUGUAUUAUCUGCUAAACUGAGUUCUGUUUGCUGCUUUUUAGUUGUCUCCUUUUCCUGUGUUCCUUGAUAACAUCAGUAUGAACAGAAAACAAUCCAUUUUGCCUUCUAUAAUAUUCAAAGAUACUAUUCCAUGCAUUCUAUAGAACUUAACUUAAAGAGAAUCAUUCCGUGCCUAGGCUGUGCUUUAUAUGUGUUUUUAAACCUGAAAUAAGUUUCCACUGCUUCCCUUUCACUGAGACUGUAAUGGUGCUUUGUUGUACAGUCCCAGGAACUGUCCUGCUUAAUUUCUCAUUGAUGGCAUCUAUUUUGCAAUAAACAGAUUAUGCAGUGGUUGAGAAACCGUCGCUAACAACAUGGAUGAAAGGAGGUCUUGAUUAUAUAGUUCUUAAAAGUUUAGACACUGAUGGGAUUCGCAUAAUUUCAAGUGUUCUUGGUCAAAGUAUUGCCCUUGAUCAUUAUAUCCGGCAGGUACUGAAAUUGAGCAAAGCUAAUGAUCUUUUGCAUGGUGAUUGUAUCAUUAAAACUGUCUAAAAGUUGUGAACUUCUAAAACACUAAUGUUGAUAGGUUGAUGAUAUGGUUGAGGAAUUCACUGAAAUUAAUCGUGUCAUGGAGAAGACUGGCAACUUCACCAUGCAGAGAAAGAAGCUCUUUCAACUUGUAGGCAAGGCUAAUUCCAAUCUUGCAGAUGUUAUCAUCAGACUUGGUCUUUUUGACAGGUAUGUCUUGAACACUAAAGCACUAUAUUCAUUUUAGGUUGGCUCCAUCUCCUGUACAACAUGUAUGAAGUUAAAUAUUUUAUGUAUGGAAGAAUGUGUCGGUAUCAUUGAGGGAUUUUUCUGUAGGAUGGAAGGUGUUUAAUUCUAGAUGCUAGAUAUUGCUUGCCUAUAGACCAGUGUUAUGCGCACAUGCUAUUCACAUUUGGAGAAAAGUUAUCACGUGGGGUUUAUGCUGUUAGUUUGGAGUUUCUUCCACUGCAUUGAGUAAAGAUUGAUGAUUUUGAUCAUCGUACUUAGAAAUUGGAUAUUACUAUGUCGCAGUACUCACUGUUUUAAAAGCAUUGUGCUUGCCAUGCGCAGAUUAUAUCAUAUUUUUGUUGGCUCUGUUGCAUUGACCACAUGUUUCUGCUUUGACUCACUGGUUGCUUUUGUAAAUGCAAUUUUGCUUGUGGGGACAUGUACCUUCUGUCAUUUAACGACAUGAGUUUUCCCCAGGUCAGAAAUUGCCUGGAAAAAUGCAAAUUAUGCACAAAUUCUGGAGUAUCUUCGGGAGGAAUAUGAACUGAAUCAGCGUUUUGGAAGCCUCGACUUCAAACUGAAAUUUGUGGAGGUAAGUGCCUUGUGUACUCAUUCUUCUAUGGUGCAAUCUGUUUCUUUUUGAGUUUUCGUUUGUGUUUAUAAUUUAUUGUUGUAACAGCACAACAUCCAUUUUCUCCAAGAAGUCCUCCAAAAUAGACGGUCUGAUCUGCUGGAGUGGGGUGUCAUAAUUCUACUGACUAUUGAGAUUGCCAUCUCACUAUAUGAAAUUGUCAAGGAUUCCAACAUGAUCUCUUGAGGGUUCUCUAUCCAACAGAUCUGCGGCACUCUUAUCCACCUUCACCUAACAUCCCGAACCUAUCAUCUUGUUAUGCUAACUCCAGGCUCUCCUGUUCUUAAGAAGAAAAAGGUAAACGAAAAGGAAUACUCUAGAGUUCUCCUCUGUCCUGACACACUGCCACUUUUGAUCUGUAGCCUUAGAUGAAAACAAGUUGGGUAUGCUGCCACUUCCUAUGAUAGCUUACCUUCCUGGGCACUGUGAGCGUUGCAUCUUUGAAUUUCCUUUUUAUCCUUUGAUUCCAGUUCACUACUAACGAAAAAAAGUUAGUCCAAUUUUCGUAUGCCCAAUGAAUUUCAUGGCUGCCAUGGUUUUCAAAUUUAAGCAGAGUACUAGUUUUCCUUCCAGAAUUCAUAUCAGGUGUUCUUGACACAUGCACUUUGCGACAUGUGCCAGGUUUUAGUAUUUCCAUAGGACUGCUACGUCCAAUUUUUGGCAUGGCUUGAGACCAGCAGGCAGCUGCCAACUGGACCUGAUGUAAAGAAAAAAGCUCAUACUAUAGCUUUAUAAUUUGUACAAAUAUGUUUGCGUGGGAAGCCUCCCUUUGGUUUAAAUCUAAAUUGCACCGUCUAUUUCGAAUCUUACACCGGUGAGUGACAGUGACAGUGUAAUGGUUGAGUCACCAUAGGAUUUUUGACUUGUAAUUACCAUGCAUUCAACCACAGUUUUGUAUGUGGUCUUCUUUCACAGUUAAGCGUAGUUGCCUCAGAGCCAUUUUUCUUCUUCCUAGACCGUUACUUGUGUUGGCUUGAUUUUCAAACUUCGGACUUUUUUAGAACAAACUUCAGAAGUUCAGUGUAUGGUUGGUUAGCAGCUGAUGUUCUGUCAAACUGGCAGCUCAGAUCAUGCAGAAGUUCGUGAAAAUCGCCUUAAACCAAUCGCUCGUUUUCAGGAUUAUUUGAUAUUUCCUUCGACACACGACUACGCUAGCCUGCUAAAACUGGGUACCACGGCAGCAAACAGCUGUAGACUACUACUCUGUCAGGAAGGCCAGCCCGGACCCCCAAUGCUUGCGCCUUUCCGUUCACACCCGAAACGGCAACGACCCUAGCAGCAGCAAGGCAGCGAGCCCCACCCACCGCCAGACCCCGGCCGCGGCGCGGGCGCGCGACGCGUGGGACGACGGCGCCAUGGCCGGCGGCAGCGGCGCGGGCUGGACGAGCACGGACACCUUCAUGCCGUUCCAGCAGUAGCCGCGGCUGCAGAUGAAGUAGAACCGGCCGGUACGGUUGAGCUGGAACGGGAAGUUGUGCCCACGGCUGUAGCUCAGGAUCGGGCUGCUGCCGUCGCACCUCGCGUACGCCGUCUCGUUCACCUGCACCACGUCGUACCUGUCCUUCUCGUACUCGAAGUCUGCAGCAUUGCACGCGCGAGUUCUUUUGGUUCAAUUUUUUGUUUGAUAACGCGAAUCUAGAUUAUUCAUCACACGGACGGCGUCUUGGUGGCGUCAAAAGUUUGAACCGGGAGAGAGAAAAGGGAGAUUGGUUAAUACCGAGCCAGUCGCCGACGUAGAACUCGUGCCGGUCCGCCCAGUCGGUGUAGUUGACAUUGGGUGCCCAGCGCUUGCGGUCGCCGACGACGAGCUUCGCCGCGACGGAGAGGGCCGGAGCCGUCGCGAGGAGGAGCAACACCACGACAAGGAGGCGCGGCGGCGUCGCCAUUAUUUCUGGAGGCCGAGAUGCAGAGCGGAACAGGGGGGUGGCGGCCGCGGCGGCGGGCUGGAAUGGAAAUGUGGAAUUCGUGAAUUGAAACGGGCAUUUAUUUAUGGAGUGGAGGAAACGAGAUGUGCGUUCCUCUUUGCUUCUCAACUGGUUUUCGUGUAAAAAGAAAGAAGACGGAAUUGGUUUCUGAACUGGGUUUUCGCCAUGGGUUAAUGCAUUUCGCGUGACCUGUGGACCUGGGGUCCGCGUAUGACAUGGCAUGCGCGAUCAAACCCCCGUGGUUCACCCGACUUUUAGGCCGUGUUUGUAUAGGAUUCUAGAUAGGAUUCUAGUCAUUUUAAUCCAACUAACCUUCCAAACGUUUCGAUUCUCAUUCGAUUCUCCAACAAUCUGAUUUUCCCCCGAGCGGCAGUUAUAACGCGAGACCCACAAUCGGGAGAAUCGGGCGGAGGAGGCGCUUGCGGGAAAAUCCGCUCGAUUCCCGAGCGCGACCGCCCAUCUUCCCCACGCCAUCCCGCUCGUCCGCCGCCGGCCCCUCCUAGCCGGUUCGCGCGCCGCCGCUGGAGGCCCCGCCGACGGCCUCUCCGCGCCCACUAACCUCUGGCGCCUCCGCCUGCUCCAGCCCCAAGCUCCCUCACGCGGCCCGCAGCUUCGGCCGGAGCUCCUCGCUUCAGCCCCCAGCUCCGGCCGACGCUCCCUGCUUCAGCCCCCACCUCCCUCGCGCGGCCCGCAGCUUCGGCCGGUGCUCCCCGCUGCGGCCCCCAGCUCGGCCCGCAGCUCCGGCCGGCGCUCCCCGCUCCGGCCCCUAGCUCCCUCGCUGGCCUGUAGCUCCGGCCGGCGCUCCCGCUCCGGCCCCCCAAAUCCGGUCGCCGCUCCCUGCUCCGGCCGGCACUCCCUCGUGCGGCUCCCAGCUCCGGUGUUGUCGGCGCGCCCCCAACUCCUCUGCUGAAGCUCCCCUGCUGAAACGUCAGGGACAAGCCUCUGUGAAAAAAAUCGACAAUGCCAAACGCUUUGCUUCUCUUGCUAGCGAUUCUUGAGGAAGCAAAUUCUUGUACAAUCAAGCUUCUUGGAAAAUCGAUUCACAGAUAAGCUGAACCAAACACGACCUUAGACGCGGCGGAUCGUGCAGGACAGACUUGUGUGGACCUAUCACCUAUGUGGCCCGGGGAAGCGGGACGGACGCGCGCGCGAGGAAGGCUGAACUAAUCAUGGAGGAUCGGUGGGUGUUGUGUUACAGCCACUGAGGCGCCGCACACCAUGCUGUGGUGAGAGCUCUUGAAGGCUGAAGCUGUCAGACGCCGAGUAGCUGCAGGCACUCGACUACUCGAGUCGACGGCGUCGCGAAGCCGCCGGAAGCCAGCGAGCGAGAGGUUCGUCUAUGGAGACGCGCAUAGGAGUGCUGUCGACGCUCGCGUCGCGGAGAAGGGUGAGCAGGCGCCCGGGAAGCAGCCCCACGAGUAGCGGCGGCGCCGGCGCUCCGGCGAGCGCGAGGCACGGAGCAGAGGAGGCGCGCGUGGAAACCCCCUGCGGCCCUGCCCGGGGUCGGGAGUGGACGGUAUUUCAUUUACCGUCCACCUCUUGUGCCCUUGACAACCGUCAGAUUGGAUCCGUACGGCCUAGAUUCGACAUAAGAGCGAUCGGACAUGGUUGUUCUCCGCCGUGAUGCCCCCCUGCUGGAGGGCGCCGGCAGCCUCACCGCCGGCGGCGGCAGGCGCUUCCAGUAUCGUCGUUGCUCGAUCGGUGCUGUCGACCUCCCGGCCGGCGUUUGGAGCGACCGCCUCUCUAUCGCCCCGCUAAUGUCGCCGAGGAAGUCGAGCAGCGCCGGGCGCCAGGUGCUCGGGGCCGAACGCGCGCAGCUGAUGGCUCAAGGAAUGUCUGGUGCGCCCGCGAGCAGGGCCUCGUCGGUGUGCUCUGGAUCGGCACGCUCGCCGGUAGGACAGGUUCGUACUGCCGCCCGUCAGGGCUGCCGUGCCAAGCUGGAGGGAGGUGGGCCGUCGAGGAAGGCGUUGGAGGAAUUCUUGAUGGCGACGAAGCUCGAGUGAAGUUAACUAAGCUGUCCGUGAAUGAUGACUGUAAAUUUGUAAUGUAUGCCCAUUGGGAUGCGAAGGACGAGCUUGCCUCCUUGGCUCCUCCUAGAUCUGAAUACAAGAUUGGGUUACGGAAAGGGGAAGGAGAGGGAGAGGGAGGAAGAUGAGAGCGGGGUUCUCUUCGCCGGCAAAAAUCCGGUGCUACAUAUCCGAUGGGAGCAGCUGGUCGCUGGUGGCGGAGAUGCGCGCGAUUCGUGAAAGGGGAUAAGCUGUUGUCGUCGUCGUCGCGCAAGCUCGCGAAAGACGAGAAGCCAGCAGAAUGACGGUGGUUGGUUAACCCCCCGUGACUCAGAUAACAGAGCAGCUAAAACAACACAAAGAAACCACUGUAAACAGAUAAGACCGUAAAACAGCGUAACCAGCACCUUAAUUCCGAGAACCAUUCUUUUUUCGAAGUAACCAUUCGGCCUCCGGCUCACAAAGGCACCCCCCACCAACGAAAGUGACCCAGUAUUUGCAUACAGCAUUCAAGCGUUAACAGUACUCACUACAUGCACAUGCGAGUACGCGACAAACUCCACAUGAUGAUUCUGCAUGUUCCUGCCACAACUCCACACACGGUGUAUAUUCUCCAACCUCCCCAAAAGCGGAUACCUACAGACGUUCUGGCUUCAAGUUAUUUUUAAUGCCAGGGAAUUCGAAUCUCGGAGUCUAGAGCGGUAUAAGCAGCAACACUCAAUCCAGCCUCCCAAGCAAGUACGCGACCUGAACCUCCUUGGUUAGCGGCAUGAUUCUCCUGUACAGCCCGGCGACUAUGCUGGGGUUGAUCUUGCACACCGGUGGGGCGCCGUUGGCCUCAGCGCCGAUGUUCACCUCUUGCCCGAAGAUCUUGGCCUUCGCUUCCACCCUGUGCUCGAUAGCACGCUCCACAGUCUCGUAUGUGAGGAGUUGCAUGAGUUGAACAGGGUCCUGAAUUGCGCAGAGCACCACAAGAAAUAGGCAAAUGAGUUGUUUGCAACGGGAUCACAUUAUCGAAUUUGAUCCGAAACUCUGCAGGCAAAACAAAAAAUAGACAUAGUAGUUGUAGACAUAUUUGCACGAAGCAGCAGCACAGACCUGGGCUUUUAUGGCAGGCCUGUAAGCUUCAGGGGACUCUUGAAACUUGGCCUCUGCCACAAACUUCCCAUAGUGGAUUCUUUUAGAGAGUGCCUGAAUGGUAAAACAAGGAACAGUGAAUAAGCGCCAAACUAUACAAAUGCAGAAUUGCACAAGUCACCAGCGAACAUCAGCAUAGUAAACCUUGCAUGGAUUGGUAUUGGAAGAUGUGGUUUGACUUUGUUUCCUAAAAUAUAUUCUUUUAAUCGAAUGAAAACUGCAGCAGAGUAAAAGGAACUUUCACAAUAAACUAGUUGACUACAACACAAGCAGAUGUGCACCCACGGUACUUAAGUGGAGUAAGAGGAUUUGACAUAAAUAUCAGCUGUAAGGUGGAUUAAGAGGAUUUGAAAUGAAUAUCAGCUGUACCUGCAAGAGAGACGUGUCACAGAGAGCACUGGAUCCAUAAUUGCCAUCGCUUCCUUCUUUCGCCAACCUUGGAAGAAGUUCAUCGAAAUACAGCUUCCAAAUCUUUUUGUUGAUGUUAAUAGAAUCAGCAACGGGAUGCAGAACCUAUGCAAAGGAUGAGGGUGAAGUAUGAAUCCAUAUGAAGUUUACUAACAUGGACAUAAGAUCAGGAUAUCUCAUUAGCAUUAUGAGCCUUGCAAUAGAUGACAUUCCAAAUGCAAUGCAGCAUAAACAGACGUUUCAUGUCACAGAUUGAUUGUGAUGGGCAACAGUGCUUGUGCUUGUACACGACCACAAGAUUCAUGCAGGUCAAACCAUCAAAUGAUUAAAUUGAAGCAAAAUGCUAAGUCAUCAUCAGUGAGUAAUACAUACAAUGCUACUUUCACCUCUGCUUCACCUAAGGUUCCUUGGGAGCUUUUGCAUUUACUCAAAGUAAAAAGAGCACAUGUUGCAAAUGAGAGGCCACCUUUUUUUGAGCUAAUAAGAAAAAAAAUGACCCUUCGCUUAUUUCAACUCAAUAUGAUAUGACAGAGAGUUAUACAGCUCAUUCCAUGAUAUAAUGGAGAAAGUAGAGUAUCUUAGCAAACAGGGAACAUUUUCAAUGUCUUGUAUCUAAGGUCUGUGGCAUUUAUUACAAUAACGAUAGCAGCACACUGCCUGUAUGUUGUUCACUAAUUGAGAAUUGCUCAAUAUAUGAGCCAUACAGGCCUUUUAAGUCAGGUGCUAAAUAACUGUAACAAAAAACAAAGUCAAUUUAUCUACCUAUAUGAAGAAAAUGAUAUAUUAGUCUGCAAAUAGUGGGCUAUAUUUCUUAUACCGAUGAAGAAACUACAAAAAUCAUCAAGAGAAGCAUUUGAAAUCCAAGAACAUGCAUUACCUUUGGGUAUUGCAUAGGUGGCAACCGCGGCUCAGGCAGAUCAUCUGGAAAGAAUGCGUGCUCAUCUGGGCUCUUGUAUCUCCCAACCUAUAUUUAAAAACAUCAGCAUAUUUUAUUCUUUUGCAAGUCAUGAUCAAUUAUUUUUGUUAAAAAAAGAAACCCAAAUGGAUUCACCUGCGCAUGUAGCUUUUCAGUUUCUCUAACUAUGUAUUCAACCAAAGAUCCUUCAAAACCCUCCAUGUGGAAAGAAUUGCUAUCAUAUGUAUCAGCAUUGUAACGGUACUGGGCUCUCUCCAAGAGGCCGAAUAUGAUGCUGUCUUCUAGUCUAAUCAAAGUUUGUCUGAUGCUAUCCAGUGUCAAUAUUUCACUUCGAUCAACCCUCCCUUCCCUAGCAAAAGUGAACAAUUAAGAAAAAAGAAUGAUCAGUUCCUUCAGUAUAACCCAAACCAGCUUUAGCAACAAGAAAAAGCAGUCAAAGGAUAACAUAAGAGAGUCAAGUCUUUCUGCAAAAAGCAACAAGGUUAACAUCCAUAGUGCUCCAUGUCAAUUCCCUCAAGAUUCCACUUACAUUUCUGGAAUAGUUUCACCAAAAUUCAACGAAGCUUCGUCACAAAGAAAUUAGAACAUACAAGUUAUCAAAGCACACUAUUAAUUUUUUACCACCAAGUCUCCAGACCUAUCAUUGGUGGAAGUGAUGAACAACAUAGCUGGAAAUUUCCACAGUAUAGUUGCAACAAUGUGAACAUGUAAUGCCUACAGGCUACAGCAUGCUUUUGGCUAAAGUCAUGACUUCCAAGUCAACUCUACCACCAAAUAGUAAGUCAUGACUUCAAGUCAACGUCACAGGAUAUCAACACCACGUCCAUUUUUACACAAUAGUAAACUCUCUGUUCUUAGAGAAAUAAUUCAACAAGGAGUUCCCCAACUUCUAGGAGAUCAACCCAAUCACAGGAAAACAGCCACAAUUGCCAAUACAAUCACCGCAAAACAGCCACAAAUUGCCAAUUCAAUCACCACAAAACAGCCACAAAUUGGAUGCCUGAAUUCACGCAAUCAUUCUCUAAAGCACAGAUGGUUGGAUUCAGAAGGACUAGUCUCGGAAACGGAAUGGCUAGAACACCAACUCUCCCGAUUCAUAACCAACGCAAACCCAAAUCCGACUCCAGGAUCAGCACAGGAAAUUACCACACUGCAGCCAGCCGUACGCGCGCAAGCACAAACCUACAUACCCUCCCACGGAACCAAGCGCAGCACAAAAUAGGCAGAAACUGGAUGCCCGAAAUCAUGCAAUCAGUAUCUAAAUUAUGUACGGUCGGAUUCAUCAUCAGGAUUAAUGCCAGAAACGGAAACACUAGACCACAAACGCUACCAAUUGAUACACCACAAAUCCAAACCCCGCUUCCAGGAUCAGAGCAGGAAAUUACCACAGUGCAGCCAUCCUUACACGCGCAAGUACAAACCUACAUACCUCCCCUCCCACGGAACCAAGCGCAACACAAAACAGCCACGAACUGGACGCCCGAAAUCACGCAAUCAGUAUCUAAAGCAUAUACUGUCGGAUUCAUCAGGACUAAUCUCAGAAACGGAACCGCUAGACCACAAACUCCCCCAAUUGAUACACACAAAUCCAAACCCGAUUCCAGGAUCAGCACGGGAAAUCACCACACCGCAGCCAUCCCUACACGCGCAAGCACAAGCCUACACACCUCCCCUCCCACGGAACCUACUACCAAGCGCAGCAACCGCUCGUCACACCAAACGAGUCCCACGAGGAGGAGAACCCAAUCGGAGUACGUACUUGGCCACGGGGGUCGCGGAGUUGUUGGCGGUCGCGCGCAGCGCCUUGGUCCCGGUCGCCGCCGAGCCGAGCCCGAAGCCGACGCGGCUCCUGCCCUGCGCUCCUUCUCCCCGGUGCGCGUGCGCGGGCGCGGGCGACGCCGCCGCGGCCUUGGCGGCCAGCUUGAACUCCAUCGUCGCCACCUACCGCCCCGCCACGAGCACCUGGAAUUCGGGGGUGCUCGCGGGAGGUGGGAGGGAGGGAGAGGCUGGUAGGCCGGGGAAAUGCCGGGGGAUUUAUUUGUAGGUGGUGGGGGCGGCCGGACGGUGAGGAGGGGGGUGUUCGGUCGAGAGGGAGAGGCGACGCGAUGGACUUGGAGAAGUAGGUGGGACUUGGUGGGGUCAGGAGUGGGAGGGGGGGGGGGGGGGGGGGGGGGGGGUGGUGCGGACGGGCCGUAGAGGAAGAGAGGAAGCCAGCCAGCGAGCCAGGCCAGGUCGCCAGGAGGACGGGGUAGGCCGGGAGGGGAUGGGGGAUCGGAAUCGGGGGGCGUCGGCGCGUGGAAAAGUGACGCGCGGCGGGGUCGUGCGGUGGGGUUAGGUUGGGGUGGGGGCGCGCGGGCGUGGCGUGCGUCCCGGUUUGCGGCGGAGCUGUCCGCUUGCUGGCGCGCGACUGGUGAGGGGUCCGUUUGGUACUUCGGGUGGUUGGUCUCGAGCGCUUCCGGAUUGGUGAGGAGGCUCCUGUUGUGAACCAUUUGGUGAUCAACACCAGUACCUAUCAUUAGCGGUUACUUACCGAAGGGGUCUCGCACCCAUUCACAUGACCAUUUCAUCAUGUAUAUGUAUACACAAACAGUCCCAUACUCUUAACACGUUAUCACGCAGGCAUGCUCGAACACUAAUGAGUUCGGCCACAAGACAUUCAUGGCGACGAUGCAGUUCCUGGCGUCCUGGUCGCUGGAGAAGAACAGAAGCACAAAGUCGAUCAAUGUCGAAUCCAAGACGAACAAGCAGAGAUUCGAGCGAUGAUGAACAAGCACUUCUUGCUGCAGUGCAUCACCAGUGGCGUCUUCAGCGACGCCCUUGAACAUGUCUUGCCCAACGCCGGCGAAGCAUCCAUCGACUUCAGAAGGAGAAAUCAACAUCAGGAUUUCACAGAUAAGUGACGGCACCGUUCUUACCUUGCAAUGUCCGGCGGCGACCGUCGCACGUCUACUCACGAUCCUGCGGCAACCCCGCCCGCGGCAAGCCCGCCAGCGCCCCUGCGUCAGCGGUGGCGUGCUCCCACCUGCACCCCAGCAGCCGGCGGCGGCGUCCUUGCACC
rnacentral:lncRNA from 1 species